AGUGAACGCUGGCGGCAUGCCUAACACAUGCAAGUCGAACGGUAACAGGCCCGCAAGGGUGCUGACGAGUGGCGGACGGGUGAGGAAUACAUCGGAAUUUGCCCAGUCGUGGGGGAUAACGUAGGGAAACUUACGCUAAUACCGCAUACGACCUUUUGGUGAAAGCGGGGGAUCAGCAAUGACCUCGCGCGGAUGGAUAAGCCGAUGUCGGAUUAGCUAGUUGGCGGGGUAAGAGCCCACCAAGGCGACGAUCCGUAGCUGGUCUGAGAG
rnacentral:rRNA from 1 species